UACGGAGGAUGCGAGCGUUAUCCGGAUUUAUUGGGUUUAAAGGGUGCGUAGGCGGACUGUCAAGUCAGCGGUAAAAUUGAGAGGCUCAACCUCUUCCCGCCGUUGAAACUGGUGGUCUUGAGUGGACGAGAAGUACGCGGAAUGCGUGGUGUAGCGGUGAAAUGCAUAGAUAUCACGCAGAACUCCGAUUGCGAAGGCAGCGUACCGGCAUCCAACUGACGUUGAGGCACGAAAGCGUGGGGAUCAAACAGG
rnacentral:rRNA from 1 species